UACGUAGGGUGCAAGCGUUAAUCGGAAUUACUGGGCGUAAAGCGUGCGCGGGCGGUGAUGUAAGACAGAUGUGAAAUCCCCGGGCUCAACCUGGGAACUGCAUUUGUGACUGCAUCGCUGGAGUGCGGCAGAGGGGGGUGGAAUUCCGCGUGUAGCAGUGAAAUGCGUAGAUAUGCGGAGGAACACCGAUGGCGAAGGCAAUCCCCUGGGCCUGCACUGACGCUCAUGCACGAAAGCGUGGGGAGCAAACAGG
rnacentral:rRNA from 1 species